AACGUAGGAGGCGAGCGUUAUCCGGAGUUACUGGGCGUAAAGAGCGUGUAGGCGGGUAUGCAAGUUUGGCGUGAAAGCUCCCGGCUAAACUGGGAGACUGCGUUGAAGACUGCGUAUCUAGAGGCAAGUAGAGGGACGUGGAAUUCCGGGUGUAGUGGUGAAAUGCGUAGAGAUCCGGAGGAACACCAGUGGCGAAGGCGGCAUCCUGGACCGAGAUUGACGCUGAGGCGCGAAAGCCAGGGGAGCAAACGGG
rnacentral:rRNA from 1 species